rnacentral:rRNA from 1 species
UACGUAGGACCCCAAGCGUUGUCCGGAUUCACUGGGUAUAAAGGGUGCGUAGGCGGUCUUGUGCGUCAGAGGUGAAAUAUCCGGGCUCAACCCGGAGGGUGCCUUUGAUACGGCAGGACUUGAGUGCGAGAGAGGAUGAUGGAAUUCCUGGUGUAGCGGUGAAAUGCGCAGAUAUCAGGAGGAACACCGGUGGCGAAGGCGGUCAUCUGGCUCGCAACUGACGCUGAGGCACGAAAGCGUGGGGAUCAAACAGGAUUAGAA